rnacentral:rRNA from 1 species
GUAGGGAAUCUUCCGCAAUGGACGAAAGUCUGACGGAGCAACGCCGCGUGAGUGAUGAAGGUUUUCGGAUCGUAAAACUCUGUUGUCAGGGAAGAACAAGUUUGAGAGUAACUGCUCAGACCUUGACGGUACCUGACCAGAAAGCCACGGCUAACUACGUGCCAGCAGCCGCGGUAAUACGUAGGUGGCAAGCGUUGUCCGGAAUUAUUGGGCGUAAAGCGCUCGCAGGCGGUCUUUUAAGUCUGAUGUGAAAUCUUGCGGCUUAACCGUAAGCGGUCAUUGGAAACUGGAGGACUUGAGUACAGAAGAGGAGAGUGGAAUUCCACGUGUAGCGGUGAAAUGCGUAGAGAUGUGGAGGAACACCAGUGGCGAAGGCGACUCUCUGGUCUGUAACUGACGCUGAGGAGCGAAAGCGUGGGGAGCAAACAGGAUUAGAAACCCUUGUAGUCC